rnacentral:rRNA from 1 species
UACAAAGGGUGCGAGCGUUAAUCGGAAUUACUGGGCGUAAAGCGCGCGUAGGCGGCUUUGCAAGUCGGGUGUGAAAUCCCCAGGCUUAACCUGGGAACUGCAUUCGAGACUGCAUUGCUAGAGUAUGGGAGAGGGAAGUGGAAUUUCCGGUGUAGCGGUGAAAUGCGUAGAUAUCGAGAGGAACACCGGUGGCGAAGGCGGCCAACUGGACGAAUACUGACGCUGAGACUCGAAAGCGUGGGGAGCAAACAGG